rnacentral:rRNA from 1 species
UGGGGAAUAUUGGACAAUGGGCGCAAGCCUGAUCCAGCAAUUCCGCGUGGAUGAAGAAGGUCUUCGGAUUGUAAAGUCCUUUCGGCGGGGACGAUGAUGACGGUACCCGCAGAAGAAGCCCCGGCUAACUUCGUGCCAGCAGCCGCGGUAAUACGAAGGGGGCUAGCGUUGCUCGGAAUCACUGGGCGUAAAGCGCACGUAGGCGGCUUUUUAAGUCAGGGGUGAAAUCCUGGAGCUCAACUCCAGAACUGCCUUUGAUACUGAGAAGCUUGAGUUCGGGAGAGGUGAGUGGAACUGCGAGUGUAGAGGUGAAAUUCGUAGAUAUUCGCAAGAACACCAGUGGCGAAGGCGGCUCACUGGCCCGAUACUGACGCUGAGGUGCGAAAGCGUGGGGAGCAAAC